rnacentral:rRNA from 1 species
UGGAAGUGAUAUUAGCACAAUGGAGGAAACUCUGACCCAGCAACGUCGCGUGAGGGAAGACGGCGGCAGAUUGAAACUUCUGCCUUGGGGAAAAUACAGAAUACGGGCCGAGAAGGAAGCGCCACGGCUAACUACGUGCCAGCAGCCGGUAAUUACGUAGGGGCAAGCGUUGUCCGGAAUGAUUGGGCGUAAAGGGCACGUAGGCUUUGGAGUGAAAGUCGGGUUUUAAGUCUUGCUUUUCAUGUGGGAGCCGCUUUGGAAACUGCAUUUCUUGAGUGAAGAAGAGGCAGAUGGAAUUCCUGGUGUAGCGGUGAAAUGCGUAGAUAUUAGGAGGAACACCAGUGGCGAAGGCGACUUGCUGGGCUCUAACUGACGCUGAGGCUCGAAAGUGUGGGGAGCAAACAGGAUUAGAUACCCUGGUAGUCGGGGGGGGUAAACGAUGAUUUGCUAGGUGUAGGGGGUAUGAACCCCUCCUGGGCGGGGUUUACCCCAUUAGGAAUUCCCCCGGGGAGGAACGGCGCCAGGGUUAAACCUCAAAAAAUUGGUGGGGGCCCCCACAAACAGGGGAAAAAUGUGGGUUUAUUCGAAGCCACCCCAAA